CCUACGGGAGGCAGCAGUGGGGAAUAUUGCACAAUGGGGGAAACCCUGAUGCAGCGACGCCGCGUGAGUGAAGAAGUCAUUCGUUAUGUAAAGCUCUAUCAGCAGGGAAGAAAAUGACGGUACCUGCGUAAGAAGCCCCGGCUAACUCCGUGCCAGCAGCCGCGGUAAUACGUAGGGGGCACGCGUUAUCCGGAUUUACUGGGUGUAACGAGAGCGUAGACGGCAGUGCAAGUCUGGAGUGAAAGGCGGGGGCUCAACCCCCGGACUGCUCUGGAAACUGUACGGCUGGAGUGCAGGAGAGGUAAGUGGAAUUCCUAGUGUAGCGGUGAAAUGCGUAGAUAUUAGGAGGAACACCAGUGGCGAAGGCGGCUUACUGGACUGUAACUGACGUUGAGGCGCGAAAGCGUGGGGAGCAAACAGGAUUAGAUACCCGAGUAGUC
rnacentral:rRNA from 1 species